GCGUGCAUACAGGCACUUUCUGCAAAACAGUCAACAAUGAAAAAACGAAAAAUGAACUGCCAAUGAUACACCCAAAGGGACGAUCCAGCAAACAACUAUAUUAUCACGUCUAUUCUGUAGUUCACUGCCUUCGGAAUCGGAUUAUCGGUUUCUGAUAUUAUUUCUCGGAGUUGAUCUUUAUUGUGUGUUCAAGAGUAGUGUGAGUCCUUUCAAGAUUAUUGGGUAGAAAAUUGAGAAUAAGGCCAUCUUGCAGAAAGCUGGUGGCACGAUGCAGCUUUCGAAAUGUGACAACACCGAGGACAGUUUUGUUAUGGUAAUUGGAGACGGGCACGGACGCAAUCAAAAGCGCGGAGCUCCGGGAAUUUUUAAAAGAAUAUCCAAAGAGAAAUUAGAGUUGAGUUGUUUAGAAAAUUACAUUGGCGUGCAAUUUCCUGUGAAUUUCAUACGUCGCUUAAAUCAAAUGAAUCCACAAUUUUGCGUAUGUUGUAUGUAGAUAAUAAAUUUGGUUCAUAUCAGAA